rnacentral:tRNA from 1 species
GAGGGUAUAGCUCAGAGGUAGAGUGCGUGCCUACCAUGCACGAGGCCCUGGGUUCAAUCCCCUAGAACCGCCA